rnacentral:rRNA from 1 species
GACGUAGGUGGCGAACGUUAUCCGGAAUUAUUGGGCGUAAAGGGUGCGUAGAUGGUCCGCUAAGUUAGCAGUGGCAAAUUGGGGCUCAACCCCGCGGAAGUUGCUAAUACUAGCAGGCUACGAGGACAGGGGAGGUUAACGGAACUCCCGGUGGAGCAGUGAAAUGCGUAGAUAUCGGGAAGAACACCAAAGAGGCGAAGGCAGUUAACUAUUCUGGUCCUGACAUUGAGGCACGAAAGCGUGGGGAGCAAAACGG